GGGCCCGUAGCUCAGUUGGUUAGAGCACACGCUUGAUAAGCGUGGGGUCGGUAGUUCGAGUCUACCCGGGCCCACCAUUGGUUUGCUGAAUUUGCCUGAUCCCUGACGGUUUUGCUGUGGGGUGUUUGCGAUGGUUGGGGCUUUAGCUCAGCUGGGAGAGCACCUGCUUUGCAAGCAGGGGGUCAUCGGUUCGAUCCCGAUAAGCUCCACCAAUCGCGAAACGCGAUUGGGUUGGUUUUGUCUUGACGCUGUCGCGGCUUUGCCGCUGCGCUCCAGACGGGCCGGCCAAUCAUGGCCGACGGCCUUGCGGCCUGUAUGGGCGGACUGAUCGUCGGUAACGGCAUUAUCCUUUUGAAGAAAUAAAAGUUUGCAUCGUUCGCAAGAACUGAUGCCUGUUCUGAAUACAUUGUGAAGAGAAGAUAUGUCUGGAAGCUUCCAGGUGUUUUGGGUUUAGGCCCAAGGCGUCCGAGCCCAGUCUCAGUGAAACCUUGUGAUGGCUUAGUCGGCCGGAAUUGGUGGAGGGACUGGAGGUAGGAAGGAAGCUUGUCCUGGGCAUGUUUGUUGUUUGAAGGUUUAGGCCUUCAUCUGAUGGACAUGCUGGAUUAACGUUGCCUGACCGCGCGUUACCGGAUGAUAUCUCGAGAAGCUGGUCUUAAUGAUACGACCUCGAAGUGCACCGGCGUGCCUUCAAUGAGGAUUGUAUCGAACACGUCGAUGUCAUCAAGAAAAUGACCUGGUUGUAAAAGGUAACCAGGUUGCCGUUCCUUCGGAACGGCUAUGGAUGAGCAUAGACAAUGAGAAC
rnacentral:misc_RNA from 1 species